rnacentral:misc_RNA from 1 species
AAGUCGUAACAAGGUUACCGUAGGUGAACCUGCGGUAGGAUCAUUUCCGAAAAAAACGUUAAAAUAUACACCCUGUCGCAAGACAGCCAUGUGAAAACGUAGUGAUAAGAACCUUUUUUUUUACUCUCGACAAAGGGAUGGAUGGGGUUUUUUGCGAAAACAAAAAACACAUACAUACUUCUCCUAAGAGAGGCCUUGAUGAACCCACGCAGCUGAAAAUGCUGUCGUACUAUUCCAUUUUCUUUUUUUGAUCGAUCGAUUCGGAUCUUUGUUUUUUCCUAAUCUUCUUCGGUAGUCUCGCAAGGGGCGAAAAAGAGAUAAAGAGAGAGAAAGUGAAGAAGAGAGAGAGAGAGAAAAAAAACACAAAUAUAUCGACAACUUUUAACGGUGGAUCUCUUGGCUCGU